rnacentral:rRNA from 1 species
AUUGAACGCUGGCGGCAGGCCUAACACAUGCAAGUCGAACGGUAACAGGAAGAAGCUUGCUUCUUUGCUGACGAGUGGCGGACGGGUGAGUAAUGUCCGGGAAACUGCCUGAUGGAGGGGGGUAACUACUGGAAACGGUAGCUAAUACCGCAUAACGUCGCAGGACCAAAGAGGGGGACCUUUGGGCCCCUUGCCAUCGGAUGUGCCCAGAUGGGAUUAGCUAGUAGGUGGGGUAACGGCUCACCUAGGCGACGAUCCCUAGCUGGUCUGAGAGGAUGACCAGCCACACUGGAACUGAGACACGGUCCAGACUCCUACGGGAGGCAGCAGUGGGGAAUAUUGCACAAUGGGCGCAAGCCUGAUGCAGCCAUGCCGCGUGUAUGAAGAAGGCCUUCGGGUUGUAAAGUACUUUCAGCGGGGAAGAAGGGAGUAAAGUUAAUACCUUUGCUCAUUGACGUUACCCGCAGAAGAAGCACCGGCUAACUCCGUG